AAUUGUCUUGCUAAUCAAAUGUGAAAUGAUUGAGUGUAAAUUAAUCGUGUCAUUUUUAGUUGAAGAUAUAAACAUUAUUUUGGAGGAGCCGCCGACAAUUAAUCUCCAAUCAGAGGCAUAUAACUAUCAAAGCAGUGUCAGGUAUUGUUCUAAAUGUUUAAUUUUUUUGAAAGAAUGUCCUAUAAGAGGUUUCCCUGAUUCUUGCAGGAGACACUGUCGGCCUGUGACUCCAGGGCGACUAUGGAGAGGGAAAUGGCAAUGGAUGAGCCAUCCACCUCCAUGUCAACCUUCUCAAGGCCUUCUCGAGGGACAGACAAGAUUGGAACAGACACUAUAAGGGCGCUGUACAAGCGCAACUUGGAGCUGGACAACGAUAUAAAAGUCUUGGUGAAAAAAAAAUUGAAGAUCGAGAUCCAGCUCCUCGAGAGGGUAGGCUAUUUUUAGAUUUUCUUUGGUUAAGCUCGACUGACUACUGAAAUAAUGUUCUUUUUCCUACUUUCACAGCAACUGCAUG
ensembl:lncRNA